rnacentral:rRNA from 1 species
UGCAGAGAACUUUCCAGAGAUGGAUUGGUGCCUUCGGGAACUCUGACACAGGUGCUGCAUGGCUGUCGUCAGCUCGUGUCGUGAGAUGUUGGGUUAAGUCCCGUAACGAGCGCAACCCUUGUCCUUAGUUACCAGCACGUUAUGGUGGGCACUCUAAGGAGACUGCCGGUGACAAACCGGAGGAAGGUGGGAUGACGUCAAGUCAUCAUGGCCCUUACGGCCUGGGCUACACACGUGCUACAAUGGUCGGUACAAAGGGUUGCCAAGCCGCGAGGUGGAGCUAAUCCCAUAAAACCGAUCGUAGUCCGGAUCGCAGUCUGCAACUCGACUGCGUGAAGUCGGAAUCGCUAGUAAUCGUGAAUCAGAAUGUCACGGUGAAUACGUUCCCGGGCCUU